rnacentral:lncRNA from 1 species
ACUUCUGUAGAGUUAUCGGUGAGAAUCCGUUGUGAUCGUGUGAUCAUUGUGAUUGCGUGUCUCUUUCUUCAGUUAGCAUCCUGACUCAACGUGCCGUAUCCUCGCUCUGUGUCUCCAUCGAUAGUGUUGUCGGUUGAAAGCGGUUUAGACAACUCUUGCAAAUCAAAGCGAAGAAACAGUGACAUUGAAUGAGUACAGUGUGCUAACUGUUCCAAUGGUGCUUGGUCUACACUCGCAAUUUCCAAUUUACCAACAGGGCACUUGCAAAUCCUCUCGACCGACCAAGUGCAGAUGUUUACGCAAGUAGAGAUCUGCAGAGUGCAGAUUAUGCACAGCAGUACUUUGAACCAAACUGUAAUAUUAGCUGCUGGUAAUUUAGCCUUGACGAUCAGGAUCAAGACGAACGAGCCUCUCGCUUUCCCAGUGUGUAGGUGGGGCGGAAUUCACGGGGAAGGUCGC